rnacentral:lncRNA from 1 species
AACAAUUUAAGAGAACUUUUAUCAAAAGGGAAAAAUACAGGGUCUCUCUCUAAUGUCCAGGCUGGAGUGCAGUGGCACAAUCAUAGCUGACUACAACUUUGAACUCCUUGGCUCAAGAGAUCCUCCUGUUUCAGCCUCCCAAAGUGCUGGGAGUACAUGAGAGAGCCAUCAUGCUUGGCACCUUUUAUUUUAUUUAAUAUGAUUAAGUGGUUAUAAUUUUGUAAAUGUAUCUAUUCAACCUUAGACAUAAGGUCAUAGGAAACUGUAUUUAGAGGUACCUUAUAUUAAUUAAACUUUUGUCUAAAAUUAAUACUGCCAGUUAUAAGAAGAUAGCUGAUUACUUAUUAUUACAUAUUGUAUAAAAUAUAGCCAAUUAUGCAGGAGGUAAUGUUUGCUGUUUUAGAAAUGUAAUGACAGUAUCAUCUUAUUUCAUGUACC